GAAUUUGAUGGAGAUUUGGUUGUGACAUGUCCCCAGUGAUCACCAGGAUGGAUUUGGUUUACCUUAUUGACUGAGUAGUUUUCCCAUUCCUCCUUCAUCGCUCUAUUUGUAUACCUCCCAUGCUGUGGAUUCAGUUUACAGGAGGCCUACAAUCACAGGUAGUAGCUGCACUAUGACCUACAGUCAUAGAAAUAGCUGCACUUCCCUGAUAGAGCCGCCAAACAAUCUCACGAAGGAAUAUCAGAGAUAGAAAGCUACAUUUUAAUACAGAAUAUAAAUAUAGCUUAACCAGUAGGGUAUAGUAU
ensembl:misc_RNA 7SK 7SK RNA